ensembl:snoRNA
GGAUGUUAUGAUGAUAGGCAAAAUGUUCAACUGCUCUGAAUUAAGCUGACUGAUAAUAGCCUUUCUGAACAUCC